rnacentral:lncRNA from 1 species
UUUGCAUCCCACAUGGGCUUUGAGAGAAGUACUGGAUGUCCUGGCUGUAGAGUAAAAAAGACUAAUUCCAUCAUGACCCAGCAGCUGGAGAGGUUCAUUUGGAAAAGACUGAGCCCUGAAUGAGAAUUUCAGUACUGCUUCCAAUGGGGGGAAAAAGUAUUUAUAUUGAUGUGACCGUCAUGACAGUUCUACACCGUGAAUUUGUUAGAGGUCCUCUCCAGAAACUAGGAGUUUAUUUUCCCAUGUUGCCUCCUGUCCCAACUCACAGGGCAUUAUUUCAACACACAAGCCACAGAACAGGUGAGACAUACCACAGAUGCCUACUCCCUG